rnacentral:rRNA from 1 species
UACGUAGGGUCCGAGCGUUGUCCGGAAUUACUGGGCGUAAAGAGCUCGUAGGUGGUUUGUCGCGUUGUUCGUGAAAACUCACAGCUCAACUGUGGGCGUGCGGGCGAUACGGGCAGACUAGAGUACUGCAGGGGAGACUGGAAUUCCUGGUGUAGCGGUGGAAUGCGCAGAUAUCAGGAGGAACACCGGUGGCGAAGGCGGUUCUCUGGGCAUUACCUGACGCUGAGGAGCGAAAGUGUGGGGAGCGAACAGG